rnacentral:rRNA from 1 species
CCUACGGGCGGCUGCAGUGGGGAAUAUUGGACAAUGGGGGGAACCCUGAUCCAGCCAUGCCGCGUGUGUGAAGAAGGCCCUCGGGUUGUAAAGCACUUUCAGUGAGGAAGAACGCCUGGUGGUUAAUACCCAUCAGGAAAGACAUCACUCACAGAAGAAGCACCGGCUAACUCCGUGCCAGCAGCCGCGGUAAUACGGAGGGUGCGAGCGUUAAUCGGAAUUACUGGGCGUAAAGCGCGCGUAGGUGGCUUGAUAAGCCGGUUGUGAAAACCCCGGGCUCAACCUGGGAACGGCAUCCGGAACUGUCAAGCUAGAGUGCAGGAGAGGAAGGUAGAAUUCCCGGUGUAGCGGUGAAAUGCGUAGAGAUCGGGAGGAAUACCAGUGGCGAAGGCGGCCUUCUGGACUGACACUGACACUGAGGUGCGAAAGCGUGGGUAGCAAACAGGAUUAGAUACCCCAGUAGUC